CGGGGACGCCGAGCAGGAACGGCAGGAGGUCCGCGACGCCGUUAAUUCUAACGGCUGCGCCGACUGCGUUUGCGCCGCCGCGCUGCUCCGGCUGCAUCUCGGCGGCCUUGGCCUCUGCUGCGUCGUCGCGUGGGCGGUGCUGACUCUCUUGUGCGGAUUACAGAGGAAGAGCCUGACGCCAACCCUGAAGAGUCCACGGCACGAAGAAGAUCACACCGGGUCGAUUAUAUGUAGACAUCCACCCGAAUCGACGUCUUUGUUGCGGAAGCAUCACCGGCCCAACGGAGACACAUCCAACUCCCCUGCUUUGACAGGAGAAAGGCAAACAUGUCCACCCGAUCUCGUCGCUAGAUCUACAUCGCCAAAUCCAACUCAUUGUUUUGCUGAGAUUUCAUCGGCUGAAUCGUUUAUUUCAUACAAUCUCUGAUUCGACUGUGCUUCAAGCAGACUCUCUCGUGCGGAUUACAGAAGAAGAGCCUCACAUCAUAAAGAAAAACAAUGAGUCAUCGAGUUA